rnacentral:rRNA from 1 species
UACGGAGGGGGCUAGCGUUGUCCGGAAUUACUGGGCGUAAAGCGUGCGCAGGCGGUUCGUUGUGUCGGCGGUGAAAGCCCCGGGCUUAACCUGGGAAUGGCCGUUGAAACUGGCGAACUGGAGUGUGGCAGAGGGGGGGUGGAAUUCCGGCGUGUAGCAGUGAAAUGCGUAGAGAUGCGGAGGAACACCGGUGGCGAAGGCGGUUCUCUGGGCAUUACCUGACGCUGAGGAGCGAAAGUGUGGGGAGCGAACAGG